rnacentral:rRNA from 1 species
AUUGAACGCUGGCGGCAGGCCUAACACAUGCAAGUCGAGCGGAGCGGCGGACGGGUGAGUAAUGCCUAGGAAUCUGCCUGGUCGUGGGGGAUAACGUCCGGAAACGGGCGCUAAUACCGCAUACUAUCAGAUGAGCCUAGGGCGGAGUAGCUAGUUGGUGGGGUAAAGGACUACCAAGGCGACGAUCCGUAACUGGUCUGAGCGGAUGAUCAGUCACAAUGGAACUGAGCAACGGUCCAGACUCCUACGGGAGGCAGCAGUGGGGAAUAUUGGACAAUGGGGGAAAGCCUGAGCCAGCCAUGCCGCGUGUGUGAAGAAGGUCUUCGGAUUGUAAAGCACUUUAAGUUGGGAGGCGUUACCAACAGAAGAAGCACCGGCUAACUUCGUGCCAGCAGCCGCGGGAAUAC